rnacentral:lncRNA from 1 species
GCAAGAAGCACAGCACCGCCAGUUACCACGCAGACAUCCUGGGGAACUGAGCCCACCACCUACCAGAGGUAGUGGAAAAGAAAGGACAUGGGGGAAGUGGACCUGUUUAGAAGUGGUUCUUUGAAGCAGCUCUCAUCUGUGUUAUCAGGAAAUCGGCAGUUUGGUUUACAGGUCAGCAACAGCAGCUUGAUCCACUUUCAAACACUUCACAGAUACACCAGCAGUCCAGUUCGGGAGAGUCCGAAGAGCAAACAUGAAUCAGCAGUGGUGUCAUCACCUAACAGGAACAGCCAGGCCUCAGCCAGAUCAGCACAAGUCAGCAGGAGGGACCAGAACCAACAGGGACACCAGGAGUUCUUUGCUGUGCCUCUCUCAGUGAAGCAAAGAUCAUCAAAGAUGAGAGACCAAGAAGUAUUGCAGAGCUAGCUCUACAAGCAAGCCCCUCUCAGUCCUAUUUACACUCCCUCCAAAAAUCACAUGCUCUCCACAGCUCUUGCCUCAGCAUGUGAGUCUGUCUUAGCAAAACUCCACGAGUCUGUAUCAGCUGACAUCACUCUGCCAGUUGACCCAAGUCCUCAGAAGCUGCAAGAAGCCGCAGCAUACUACCAGAAGGGUUUUUUUGGUGUAUUUCGAUUUCUGGAGUCCUGACAAAUGGCGCUCAACUACACAAUUUAAGGCAGACCAAUACUUGUGUGUUGUUAAUGAAGAAUCCGUCACCAUGUGUCCUUUCACGUGCUUGCUUUAGCAGAAAAUCCUUUCACGCGUGUCUGCUUCAGUGAAACAUUCCUUCACAAGUCUGCCUUAGCAAAACAUCCUUUCACCUGUGUCCACUUCAGGGAAAAACUCCUUCAUGUGUUUGUCCCAGCAAAACACCAUCCAACACAACUGACUUUCCAAAGAACCCUUCAACCUAAAAAAAAAAGAAGAAGACUCAGAAACCACCUUAGAAAUGCAUCUCACAAAAUACCUGCAAGGCCAUUAGAAAACUGCAGAAAGAUUUUAAACACAUGUCUGAAAAUACCCUAAAUAUCCUAAAGACACACUUCUUUCCCCAGAAGUAAUCUAUAUAUAUAAUAUGAUUCCAAAUAAAAUUUCAACAGGGUCUUAAAAAAU